rnacentral:lncRNA from 1 species
UUGUUUUAUGUAAUUUUAUUAUAAAAAUGAUUCUACAAAAACGGGACAGCCAUGAAAGCACCAUAUAAGGAUUUAUUGUUCUUAGAAAAUAACUCAUCAUAUUGGGUUAGAGAUCAACUCAAUAUUUGGCAGGUUUUUUCUUCCAAUACUAAUAUGUGGGUGGGUGAUUUCCAGCUUUUGAAGAAGCCAACAUUGAGAUAUCAUUAUAUAAACUAUACAUGUGUUAGCUAAUUUUCUUGUAAGUUGUCAGUUCAUUUGUAUUUUUAUCAAGAUUUGGUUAGAUAAUGUAUUGAAAUAGGUAUUGAUCCGUUGAAACAGCUUGCUUCUGAGUUCAUCAUCUUUUUAGGUUCAUCUGAUCUCCAUCAUAGUAAUUUGUAUCAAAAUUAUUCAAUUUUUAUCUAAAUGAUAACAUUAUAGUAUUGAUUGUAAGUAAGAAAAUUGGAUACAACAUGUACAGUUUGUGAUUUCUCAAUGUCAGUUUAACUUCUUCAUUUUCAAAUUUUCAUUUUGAGGGGUGGGAACAGUAAGAAAAACACUAUUUAUCUGAAGAAUAGACAAAUUCACAAUAUUAUAAAACAAUACACAAAUUGUUAAUCAGAAACAAUUUUUGAAUCUAUACCUUCUGUUUGGUUGCAUGUGAAUCAUAUAAAAAAAAAGCCAAAUAAUACCCAAGAAUUACAAAUGAAAUGAGAUAAACCUGUCUAAACCAAACCCUGACAGGAUUUGGAAUUUUGUUGAUUACUUGGAUGGUCACUUUAUACAAGUUUAAUAAGUUUGUUAAUAGGAAUAUCAAUGCAAGAAAAUAUCCAGAUUUUAACACAUUUUACAUUUUUUUUAACAUAGUUUGCCUAGAUUCAUCUAUAAAAAUGUUAAUAACCGAACCAUGACAUGUUUUGUAAUGUUUAGAAAUGAAUGAGAUAUAUACAGAGCCUUAAAUAUUCUGAACUUAUAUAUGUUGUCAAAAUUCACACCCAUUUCACCAAAACCUUAAAUUGUAGAGCAAUACAGCUAUCAAUGUGGACUGAAAAAUGUUACAAAACAAAUGUCGGAGCUCAUUUGAGAAUAAAGUUAAGGGAGACAAUCAGUUUUUACACGGUUGAUUUAGACAAGAUUUCACUGUAAUUGAUAAAAUAAACCCCCAAAAAACUUCAGUUGUUUGUUCUGAAUUCAACCCGUUAUUUGUUUCUAAGAGCUAAUAAUUAUAUAACAAACUAUUUCAAAAAGCUGGUUUCUGCCAUUGAUGAGUUUGAAACAAAACAAAAACAUUCAUAACUUUUCUGAAAUAUUACAUGAUGGCGGACUUAUAUCGUAAUACAUUGUACAUAAAACCACAAAAUAUGUGGAUUGUAAAACAUAAUAAAUAUAAUAACAACAACAAAAAAAACAAAAAAUCAAGGCUAUUAAACAUGAUAUCAUAAUGAGGCUUUACAUCAUGACAUCAUAUGAUAUGUUUAAACAUAACUAAAAACCUAAAACAACAAAGGCAUAGAACACGUCUAGAGGAAUGAUAAUUGAACACUUUAUAUUUUAAUGAACGCAUAUUUUAGUUACACAUUUUCCCACAGUAAAAAAGAUGCUGAACAAUAUUAUUGCCAAAAAAAUUAUGUGUGUUUAUUCAAUGAAUUAUUGUGUAAAGAUAAAAACUUGAGGGAAUCUCAAUAUCUUUGUUAACAACGACCAAAAUAAACCCAGAAAACUGAAAGUUAACUUACCCCAGACACCAAUAGUUCAAAUAUUGCACAUUCUUUGCUCUUAUCAAUUAGAUAACUAUACAUUCAGAAAUAAUUGUGUUGUUUUUAUUAAUGCCACUAGUAUUGCAAUAAAAAGACUGACAUUUUGAUAUAUGAUACAUAUAUCUGUAUGCUGCUGUUCCCAAAAUCACAAUAAUAUAUAUCACCCUUUUUUAACAGUUCUUUAAUAAAUGCACACAAUAAUUUCUGAAUUUACAGUAAUACUAUUUGUUUUUGAGAAAAAGCUACAAGGAAUUCAAUUAAUUAAGUCUCCUCCCAUACAACAGAAUUACCACAAAAACAUAUUGUGGAUAAAGAUAAACCAUGAUUAUAAAUAUUCAACAAAGUAUUCAUUUUCUUUAGGCUUGUAUGCAAACUUCAGUGGCGGAUCCAGCCAUUUGAAAAAGGGGGGGUUCCCAACCCAGGACAAAAGGGGGGGGGUCCAACUAUAUGUCCCCAUUCAAAUGCAUUGAUUGUCCCAAAAAAAGGGGGGGUUCCAACCCCGGAACCCUCCCCUGGAUCGGCCACUGAACUUUGGCAAAUCAACAAAAUCAAAUAUCCAGGCAAGUACAAUUUCUCUUACAUCCAUGAAAAUUGUUAACCAUUAAAAUAAAUGAAUCCUCAGAAUUAGGAAAAGUAUAUUGUUUUCAAUAUGUAUAUUCAAAUCAACAACUUAUAAAGAUAUAAAACAAUUUGAUUUUUGUUACUGCACACACUGUGAAACAGUUCAAUCAGUUACUAUAAAUAAGGACUCUGUAAAAUUUCUUUCUAGAAAAAACCCCACUCAUAUUGAAUAAUUUAAGACCAGGAAAAAAAGUGUGUUUCUAGUUUCAGAUUAUCUUCCUUGAUUUGUCACUGUUCAAAUCCUUGUCUGUAUACAAUGUUAGAUAUCUAUAAAAUUAUCUUACAGCAAAAAGAGACCCACAAAUAUUUUGCUAGCCUAAAAACUAACUACUGCAAAAUAAAUUACUUUUAAUAAAGCCUUCUAUUAGAGUUUGUCGAUUUAUUUGCCAGAUUUUUUCUUAAGGCAUUUUUAUGACAGAAGUUCCAGCAAUUGAUAUUGGUGCAACGUUUUCUACUGUUGAAGGUAGAGAAAUAGAUCCCUCACAGAAUUUACGUGUUUACAAUAAUAGAAGCAAUGUAACACACAAUGUUAGGCUCAUUUCAAAAACUAUCACUGUCAAAUACAUCAUAAGAACUUUUACUGGCUAUAACUCUGCAUUGAAACACAUAGAUGUUUGAAUUAAAUACAUCAUAAGAACUUUUACUAACUCUGCAUUGAAACACAUAGAUGUUUGAAUUAAAUAAAUGAAAAAAGGAAAUAACAAAUUUCAUACAUAACAAUGUAGUUUUAAAAUUAAUCAAUGAAACAUUUAAAACAGUAAUAACAUUACAAUAAAAACAUGAUUUUUCCUAGACGAUAAAUUUUGAUCAAAGUUGUAUGUAUGGGUAUAAUAUCCCUAAAUACCAAUGGAUUAUACCAUUACCAGAUGGCCGACACACAAUACUACAUAUAUAUUACAAUGGAAGACUAGAUGAUGUAUGUGUUCAUAAAAGUUUGGCUUAAAUACCAGCAUACAAAGUUGAACAAGAGAUCACAAAUGUGCACCAAUUAAUUUCAAACUUCUUAAUUUGUAUACAAUGUUUGUUUCUAAGUAAAAAAGAAUAAUGUUUAAGUAAGACAUAGUUAUUAAUAAAACUUGUCAUUCAAACCUUCUAGUUUAAAUUGAAAAAUUUAUUUGGAAAAUAAGUCCAAAGUUCCGAUUUAGUCCCUAAAGACAAUUAUGAUCCCAUCCCUGUUGUAUUUGCAUGUUUUGAUUUUAUGUUUUUAACAUAACAGCCAAGUAAACAUCUCGUGUUCAACAUUAAUGCUUAGUCUUCAUUACAUAAAAGCACCAUCUUCACCAAAAAAAAAAAUAAGCACUUGAAAGUUAAAUGCUUUUAAUGAGAAUCUUAAUUCACUUACUGAAAUUUAAUUAAAUUAAUCAUAUUCACAACUUAUAUUUCAAAU